GAUACAAGGUGCUCCGGGGAUAACAGGCUGAGACCGCCCAAGAGUUCAUAUCGACGGCGGUGUUUGGCACCUCGAUGUCUGCUCAUCACAUCCUGGGGCUGAAGUAGGUCCCAAGGGUAUGGCUGUUCGCCAUUUAAAGUGGUACGCGAGCUGGGUUUAGAACGUCGUGAGACAGUUCGGUCCCUAUCUGCCGUGGACGUUUGAGAUUUGAGAGGGGCUGACCUUAGUACGAGAGGACCGGGUUGGACGAACCUCUGGUGUUCCGGUUGUCACGCCAGUGGCAUUGCCGGGUAGCUAUGUUCGGAAAAGAUAACCGCUGAAAGCAUCUAAGCGGGAAACUUGCCUCAAGAUGAGAUCUCACUGGAGCCUUGAGCUCCCUAAAGGGCCGUCGAAGACUACGACGUUGAUAGGUUGGGUGUGUAAGCGCUGUGAGGCGUUGAGCUAACCAAUACUAAUUGCCCGUGAGGCUUGACCAUAUAACACCCAAACA
rnacentral:rRNA from 1 species